UACGUAGGGGGCAAGCGUUGUCCGGAUUCAUUGGGCGUAAAGAGCGUGUAGGCGGCCAGGUAGGUCGGUUGUGAAAACUGGAGGCUCAACCUUCAGACGUCGACCGAAACCAUCUGGCUAGAGUCCGGGAGAGGAGGGUGGAAUUCCUGGUGUAGCGGUGAAAUGCGCAGAUAUCAGGAAGAACACCCGUGGCGAAAGCGGCUCUCUGGAACGGUACUGACGCUGAGACGCGAAAGCGUGGGGAGCGAACAGG
rnacentral:rRNA from 1 species